rnacentral:rRNA from 1 species
AUUGAACGCUGGCGGCAGGCCUAACACAUGCAAGUCGAACGGUAACAGGAAGAAGCUUGCUUCUUUGCUGACGAGUGGCGGACGGGUGAGUAAUGUCUGGGAAACUGCCUGAUGGAGGGGGAUAACUACUGGAAACGGUAGCUAAUACCGCAUAACGUCGCAAGACCAAAGAGGGGGACCUUAGGGCCUCUUGCCAUCGGAUGUGCCCAGAUGGGAUUAGCUAGUAGGUGGGGUAACGGCUCACCUAGGCGACGAUCCCUAGCUGGUCUGAGAGGAUGACCAGCCACACUGGAACUGAGACACGGUCCAGACUCCUACGGGAGGCAGCAGUGGGGAAUAUUGCACAAUGGGCGCAAGCCUGAUGCAGCCAUGCCGCGUGGAUGAAGAAGGCCUUCGGGUUGUAAAGUACUUUCAGCGGGGAGGAAGGGAGUAAAGUUAAUACCUUUGCUCAUUGACGUUACCCGCAGAAGAAGCACCGGCUAACUCCGUG